rnacentral:rRNA from 1 species
UCCAGUGACGAUGGCAAAGAGGCCACACCCGUUCCCAUCCCGAACACGGAAGUUAAGCUCUUUUGCGCCGAUGGUAGUUGGGGGUUUCCCCCUGUGAGAGUAGGACGUCGCUGG